UGCACUGCAGGAUUUCAGCAAGAAAAUUCUGGAGUGUCAACUGAUACGUUUUUCAGUCUCACCUUGCUCACUGUUUGAGUAUUGUCACAUACACAUGCGUAUUAGAGGUGAAUGCAUGAAGUUUUUGUUACUGAGAGAGUGGCCCUAGACCAGAUGCCAGCGAACUGCAGCCCACAGCCCCAAUCUCGCCUGCUGCCUCUUUUCAUAUGGCUCACAAGUUAGUCAUAGGAUUAUAUUUUAAUAGUGUGGGAAAACAUCAAAAGAAGAACAAAUUUGGUGGAACAUGAAAAUGAUACGUUUAAAUUUUAGCAUCCAUAAAAGGAGGUUUCAUUAGAACACACUUCUGUGGUUUGAAUGUCUGCUCCAAAACUCAUGUUGAAACUUAGUUCCCAGUGUCACUAUAUUGAGAGAGAGGGCCUUUAACAGGUGAUUGGGGUAUGGGAAAUCUGCCUCAUGAAUGGAUUAAUCUAUUCAUGGGUUAAUGGAUUCAUGCAUUAAUGGAUUGGUGGGUUAUCAUGGCAGGGAAACUGGCGGCUUUGUAAGAAGAGGAAGGGAGACCUGAGCCCUCUCACCACGGGUUGCCCUGCACCACCACAGGACUCUGCAGAGGGUCCCCGCCAGCAAGAGGAUCUUCACCAGAUGUGGCCUCCAUAGGCCUAUGGAGACUUCUCUAGCCUGAGACUUCUCAGCCUCCAUAACUGUACACUGAAAUUUGAAAAAGGGACAAACCCUCAUCAGAAAUGGGAGAACCUUCCAGCAAAGCCCAGGUGGCUGUUCACAGGUGUCAUCUCGCUGGAGGGCAGAAGGAUUCCCUGGAGCCUGGGGGCCAGCAGGACAGAGGAAACAGAAACUACAUGGCCGAUGAUGUCUUUCGACCACAGAAAGGGCUGGAAGAAGCAGGGGACCCACUGUUUGAAUAAACCCAGUGGAAAAACAGAAACCCCAUUUCAUACUUGACUCAGCUCUUCAAGUUUAAAUCUUGAAUCUCCUCAACUACACGGAACAGUGUUUCUCCCAAGUCAUCUGACACCCACUCUGUUCUCUGGAUCAUUCCUUCCUAGAGAACCUUGCUCUUGGAGGGCUGUGAUCUGCUCUCACCCACUUGCCUUUCUGAUCCACUGAGUGCGUCUCAACAGUCAUUUGGGGUGUUCUGAUCACUCAUGACCAGGAAGGGUUGGGUGGCUCGUGGAGCUUGGGAAGCACUCUCACAUGGUGGUCCCCAUCGGCGGUCAUGGGGUUGCCACGUUGAGCCACGUUUCUGCCCUCAUCUGUCUAUAUGUUACUGUGGAAUCUCUGACUGAGGACCCAUGGACUCACCCAAUGUGAUAAAGUCCUGAAGCCCAGCCAGGACUUCCGACCCCAGCUGCAGGGCUUUCCAAUAUACAGAUGCAUAGAACUUGGGAGGAAAUCGACUUAGAAACCUGAAGCUGGAAAACUGGUUGCCUGACAUUCUGUGCAAGACUGAAUAUCUGAGGAACGAGGGCUGUGUAACUUUGGGAACAUGUCUUUUCCGGCCUAUGUAGACCCCAGGAAACUUUGCAGUUCUUCCCCAAGUAUGGAUGGAGUCAAACUUGAUGUCCUUUCAUCCCCCCAUCCCAUCCGCUAAUCUAUAUCCUUUGGAAAGUUUAGAGUGCCAGGCCUCAUGUAAAUACACUGAAAACAAUGUAAGUCAUUUAUGUUCUACUAGGCCAAGAGUUCUUAGUGGUGGAAGAAGAUGGGGUCUUACAUGAAUGAAAGGAUCUUGGCUAUUUGCAUUGGUAUCAACAGAAGGACUAGACGCUUGCACUGAAAGAAAAAGCUGAGAGAUGGGGCCAGGAAUUGGGGAGCUGGGACCCAAGCCCCACCUUCCUGAGUUUGCCUGUCACCAGGAAGGCUGGAGAUGCCAGACGCUGUCCUGAUGCUCCUCUGGGUGGUGUCUCCACCUGCUUGUUUUCAGGAGAGGCCUGGCAGAGGAAGUACAGGACAUUGCUAAGUGGAUUGAAUAAUGUUCCCCCAAAUUCGUGUCUAACCAGAACCUCAGAAUGUGACUUUAUUUAGAAGCAGGGUCUUUGCAGAUGUUAAGUCAAGAUAAGGUCAUAGUGAAUUAGAGUGGCCCCAAAUCCAAUGCCUGCUCUCCUUCUAGGAAGGGGAGACACAGGAAGAAGGCUGCGUGAAGCUGGAGGCAGAGAUGGGGGCGGUGCAGCCAUGGCCAGGGAAUGGUGGCUGGGACAGGCAGGGAAGGUUCCUCCCUGAGCCUUCAGGGGAGCGUGGCCCUUCCACCGCCUUGUUGCCAGACUUCUGCCCUCCAGAAUUAUGAGAUGAUAAAUUUCUGUUGUUUUAAGAACAAAAGAAUUAACACCUAGUUUGUGGUCGUUUUUAUGAUAGCCCUAGGAAAUGCAUACAGCUGGGGAGACCUUCUUCCAGGGACCUGCCUCUGAAAGCAUAAAAGCAAGUGCCUUCCAGCU